ensembl:snRNA U6 U6 spliceosomal RNA
AGCUUUUGAAAGCCCAAUAAAAGAUAUAGACUAAAAUUGGAACGAUACAGAGAAGAUUAGCAUGGCCCCUGCGCAAGGAUGAGACACAAAUUUGUGAAGGGCUAUCACCAUGU